GCGGACGGCUGAGUAACACGUAGGAACGUACCCCAAAGUGAGGGAUAAGCACCAGAAAUGGUGUCUAAUACCGCAUGUGAUCUUCGGAUUAAAGCUCCGGCGCUUUGGGAACGGCCUGCGCAUGAUUAGCUUGUUGGUGAGGUAAUGGCUCACCAAGGCGAUGAUCAUUAGCUGGUCUGAGAGGAUGAUCAGCCAGACUGGGACUGAGAACGGCCCAGACUCCUACGGGAGGCAGCAGUAGGGAAUUUUCCACAAUGGGCGAAAGCCUGAUGGAGCAACGCCGCGUGCAGGAUGAAGGCUUUCGGGUCGUAAACUGCUUUUAUCUGUGACGAUUAUGACGGUAGCAGAUGAAUAAGGAUCGGCUAACUCCGUGCCAGCAGCCGCGG
rnacentral:rRNA from 1 species